UGAAGCUGGAAUCCGUAGUAAUCGCGUUUCAAUAUAGCGCGGUGAAUACGUCCCUGCUCCUUGCACACACCGCCCGUCAAACCACCCGAGUGAGGUAUGGGUGAGGGCACGAACUUCGUGUCGUGUUCGAACCUGUGCUUUGCAAGGGGGGUUAAGUCGUAACAAGGUAGCCGUAGGGGAAUCUGCGGCUGGAUCACCUCCU
rnacentral:rRNA from 1 species